ACCAUUCAAAAGCAUAUGAUAGAUCUUACCAAAUUCAGAAGGAGGCGGGCUCGGCCGGUGGUGGUCGCGGCUGCUGUCGAUGGUUGUGGGUGGCGACGAGGAGG